rnacentral:lncRNA from 1 species
CACUUAUGUGUGUUUCCUCCAAAUAUACCCCCAACGAAACAAAAAAACCGAUGUAAAGACCUAGGGUUUUGACGCUGCUCAAUAUAAAUACUCGCGUUGCACAAUUAGAGCUAAAACCUCUACUGUUUGCCGCUGUUGAGCUUUUUCACUUGCAAACCCUAGCAGCCUUUCGUUCGGCAGAAGAGGAAGAAUGGGGCACUCCAACAUCUGGAAUUCUCAUCCCAAAACCUACGGCCCUGGCUCCCGCACUUGGUAUAACCGUCUCGGUUCAUUAAUCAAUGUUAAUUUCUGGAUUUUUGUUUGUUAUUUCUUUAAUUCCUAUUUUAUAUGUGGAUUUAUGAUUUUGUUGAUCUUCUUCGCUACCUGGUUAUUGAUGGAAAGUACCCAAUUUCGUUGUUUGAAAGGACUUGAGGAAGGUGUUUAGUAAUUCAAGCAUUAUACUGAUGUCCAACACAUUUAUCUUUUGUUCUAAUCAACUUGAUCCGCGAUGCCUAAUCUGAAGUUACAAUAAUACAUAAGAGUUGUUUAUUUUAAUUCUAAACUCCAAGUCCUGGUUACAUUUCUUGGCAAUUCAUAAAUGUGAAUGUGAUGGCUUUAAACGAAGAAUAUAUGUAAGUUUUUGGAGUCUAAUAUUCGUUAUUUGAAUUCCUAUCUCAUUUAUUCUUUGUAUACCCUCUUGUCAAUUUUAUAUGGUUUUCUGCUUUGUUCUAUCAGUUUUGACUCUGAAAGUGUGGAUAUAUUUAGGUUUAUUUUGUUCCUUUUUGGGCCUUUAGUUUGUUAGGAGUUCGUCUCAUACAGUCAUAUUUGGGUGUGGAAGCUUUAAUUUCUCAACUGAUUCAUCAUGCUUCAUGAGGUGCUGGAUGCGUCUUGGACCCAUGAAUUCAGAUGAGGGCAGUGUUAACUAUUGUGUUUUCAUACUUGCAAUAAGCUAAAAUUGUAUAUGAUAGAUGUUGUAAUUAAGAGUUUGCCAAGUUCUCUUGUUCACUUUUUACAUUUUUCAACUUUCUUUUGGAGAAAGAAGAUUAUUUCUACCUUCUCUUCUAGUACAUGCUGUCUCUACACUAAAGCAUACAUUACUGUAAUUUUUGACCAAGUUUUUUUAAACUCGCCAUCUUAGGUUACUUUAAUGCGUAUUGAUUUAAUCACGGAAGAUAUAUAAUGGGAAGUCCUUCUAAAUUUUGUACCAAUAUUGCUAUUUUAACUAAUGGUAAUUUGUAUUUAGUUUGAAGAGACAUUGGUAUAAUUGGAAAUGAACUUCAAAAUUUUCUUGCCAUCUUGAGUAACAACCAAUAAGAAUUUUUUAUUUUUCCCUCACGUUUUCUCAUGGGAGUUAAGCAUAACUGUUGACAUUUUAAAUCCUUUAAUUUGGCAGCCGUGUUUGUGGGAACCCCCAUGGUAUAAUUCGAAAGUAUGGGCUCAUGUGUUGCAGACAAUGCUUUCGCAGCAAUGCUAAGGAAAUAGGCUUCAUCAAGGUAAUCAGCUGAAUUUUUUAGAAAUAUUUUGAUGACAUGGGUUUCUGUACAAAGCUUUUUAUAUGCAAUUGUUUCUAUAUACUUAGAGAUAAGUUUUCGAUGGGUUUUGUCAUUAGCUGUACAUCUAUAGGGAUGGAUUCUAGUGCAACAUUGUAAAAUUUUUGCUAGCACGAUUAGAGCAUCUACUGGUUCGUUGCCUAUAUGGUUCACAUUUUAUAUUUUUUAUAGGAUGACUAAUUAUCGUGAAUUUUUUAUUUUUUUUGCAGUAUCGCUAAGCAGUCAAGCCAAGUUUUGUACUAGAGGAAGAUUUCUCUUAAUGGGAUGCUAUUAGUUAUUUCAGAUUUACCUUUUUAAAUCGUCUCCUGCCUUUGUUCUCAAAAUGGAUGUAUUGAGGAUGAUUAUUCCAAGUUUAUAAUUGAACUUGAAGUGAUAUUUGAACAGACAAAUUAAUAUUUGCUUAUUUCAUAGUUGUGACCAUUGCUUCUAUGCACCCAUUAUAGUCAAUGAUGUUGCUCAGCACAACUUGAAUUAGUAUUCCCAUAGUAUCCUGUGGAAGGCAAAUCCUUCUCUAAGGUUUCUUCGAAGUGGUAUUCUACUUUGAAUUGUAGAAUCAUGAAAGCUUAAGACAAUUUAUAUAUGCUUGAUGAUGAAUUGGGUGAUAGGCAACAUCAAACUUGGCCUUGUUACCGAUGAGAAUUUGGAGUAGCUACAUGAUUUCUCUUUUGCUGCGCUUAUGCAAGAGACCAUGUUCCUU